AGAGUUGUAUCCUGGCUCAGGAUGAACGCUAGCGGCAGGCCUAACACAUGCAAGUCGAGGGGUAACGUGAGUGCUUGCACUUGACGACGACCGGCGCACGGGUGCGGAACGCGUAUGGAACCUACCUUUAUCAGGGAGAUAGCCCAUGGAAACGUGGAUUAAUAUCCCAUAGUAUUAUUUUAUCGCCUGAUAGAAUAAUUAAAGAAUUUCGGAUAGAGAUGGCCAUGCGUAUCAUUAGCUAGUAGGCGAGGUAACGGCUCACCUAGGCGACGAUGAUUAGGGGUCCUGAGAGGGAGAUCCCCCACACUGGUACUGAGACACGGACCAGACUCCUACGGGAGGCAGCAGUGAGGAAUAUUGGGCAAUGGAGGCAACUCUGACCCAGCCAUGCCGCGUGCAGGAAGACGGCCCUACGGGUUGUAAACUGCUUUUAUACAGGAAGAACACCACCCACGUGUGGGUGACUGACGGUACUGUAAGAAUAAGGACCGGCUAACUCCGUGCCAGCAGCCGCGGUAAUACGGAGGGUCCGAGCGUUAUCCGGAAUCAUUGGGUUUAAAGGGUCCGUAGGCGGGCUAAUAAGUCAGAGGUGAAAGUUUGCAGCUCAACUGUAAAAUUGCCUUUGAUACUGUUAGUCUUGAGUUAUAGUGAAGUGGUUAGAAUAAGUGGUGUAGCGGUGAAAUGCAUAGAUAUCACUUAGAAUACCGAUUGCGAAGGC
rnacentral:rRNA from 1 species